AAAUUGAAGAGUUUGAUCAUGGCUCAGAUUGAACGCUGGCGGCAGGCCUAACACAUGCAAGUCGAACGGUAACAGGAAGCAGCUUGCUGCUUUGCUGACGAGUGGCGGACGGGUGAGUAAUGUCUGGGAAACUGCCUGAUGGAGGGGGAUAACUACUGGAAACGGUAGCUAAUACCGCAUAACGUCGCAAGACCAAAGAGGGGGACCUUCGGGCCUCUUGCCAUCGGAUGUGCCCAGAUGGGAUUAGCUAGUAGGUGAGGUAA
rnacentral:rRNA from 1 species